AAUCAACGCUGGCGGCGUGCCUCAGACAUGCAAGUCGAACGAUUAAACUUGCCUUCGGGCAAGAUAUAAAGUGGCGCACGGGUGAGUAACACGUAAGUAAUCUACCUUCGAGUGGGGAAUAACGUCGGGAAACCGACGCUAAUACCGCAUAAUGCAGCGGCACCUAAUGGUGACAGUUGUUAAAGGAGCAAUUCGCUUGAAGAGGAGCUUGCGGCAGAUUAGCAGUUGGUAAGGUAAUGGCUUACCAAGGCUACGAUCUGUAACCGGUCUAAGAGGACGGUCGGUCACACUGACACUGAAUAACGGGUCAGACUCCUACGGGAGGCAGCAGUCGGGAAUUUUGGGCAAUGGGCGAAAGCCUGACCCAGCAACGCCGCGUGAAGGAUGAAGUAUUUUCGGUAUGUAAACUUCGAAAGAAUGGGAAGAAUCAAUGACGGUACCAUUUAUAAGGUCCGGCUAACUACGUGCCAGCAGCCGCCGUAAC
rnacentral:rRNA from 1 species